rnacentral:rRNA from 1 species
UCACGUGGAUAAUCUGCCCUGAGGUGGGGAAUAACCCCGGGAAACUGGGGAUAAUGCCCCAUAGGUCACAGAUGCUGGAAUGCCCUGUGGCUCAAAGGUCCGCCGCCUCAGGAUGAGUCUGCGGCCGAUUAGGUUGUUGUUGGGGUAAUGGCCCAACAAGCCUGUAAUCGGUACGGGUUGUGAGAGCAAGAGCCCGGAGAUGGAUUCUGAGACACGAAUCCAGGCCCUACGGGGUGCAGCAGGCGCGAAAACUUUACAAUGCUGGCAACAGCGAUAAGGGAACCUCGAGUGCCAGGUUACAAAUCUGGCUGUCGUUGUGUCUAAAAAACACGAUAUAGCAAGGGCCGGGCAAGACCGGUGCCAGCCGCCGCGGUAACACCGGCGGCUCGAGUGGUAACCGUUAUUAUUGGGUCUAAAGGGUCUGUAGCCGGCCGGAUAAGUCUCUUGGGAAAUCCGGCAGCUUAACUGUCGGGCUUUCAGGAGAUACUGUUCGGCUCGAGGCCGGGAGAGGUGAGAGGUACUUCAGGGGUAGGGGUGAAAUCUUGUAAUCCUUGAAGGACCACCAGUGGCGAAGGCGUCUCACCAGAACGGACCUGACGGCAAGGGACGAAAGCUAGGGGCACGAACCGGAUUAGAUACCCGGGUAGUCCUAGCCGUAAACGAUACUCGCUAGGUGUCGGCCACGGUGCGACCGUGGUCGGUGCCGUAGGGAAGCCGUGAAGCGAGCCACCUGGGAAGUACGGCCGCAAGGCUGAAACUUAAAGGAUUUGGCG